rnacentral:rRNA from 1 species
UGGGGAAUAUUGCACAAUGGGCGCAAGCCUGAUGCAGCGACGCCGCGUGGGGGAUGACGGCCUUCGGGUUGUAAACUCCUUUCGCUAGGGACGAAGCUUUUUGUGACGGUACCUAGAUAAGAAGCACCGGCUAACUACGUGCCAGCAGCCGAGGUAAUACGUAGGGUGCGAGCGUUGUCCGGAAUUACUGGGCGUAAAGGGCUCGUAGGUGGUUUGUCGAGUCGUCUGUGAAAUUCCGGGGCUUAACUCCGGGCGUGCAGGCGAUACGAGUAUAACUUGAGGACUGGAGGGGUAACGGGAAUUCCUGGUGUAGCGGUGAAAUGCGACGCUAUCAGGAGACAAACCGAUGGCGAAGACAGGUUACUGGGCAGUUACUGACGCUGAGGAGAGAAAGCAUGGGUAGCGAACAGG